AUGGGCGAAAGCCUGAUGCAGCCAUGCCGCGUGAAUGAUGAAGGCCUUAGGGUUGUAAAAUUCUUUCGCCAGGGAUGAUAAUGACAGUACCUGGUAAAGAAGCCCCGGCUAACUUCGUGCCCACAGGCGCUGACAGACGAAGGGGGCUAGCGUUGUUCGGAAUUACUGGGCGUAAAGCGCACGUAGGCGGACUUUUAAGUCAGAUGUGAAAUCCCGGGGCUCAACCUCGGAACUGCAUUUGAAACUGGAAGUCUAGAGACCAGGAGAGGUUAGCGGAAUACCGAGUGUAGAGGUGAAAUUCGUAGAUAUUCGGUGGAACACCAGUGGCGAAGGCGGCUAACUGGACUGGUACUGACGCUGAGGUGCGAAAGUGUGGGGAGCAAACAGGAUUAGAUACCCUGGUAGUCCACACCGUAAACGAUGAGAGCUAGUUGUUGGCAGGCAUGCCUGUCGGUGACGCAGCUAACGCAUUAAGCUCUCCGCCUGGGGAGUACGGUCGCAAGAUUAAAACUCAAAGAAAUUGACGGGG
rnacentral:rRNA from 1 species